rnacentral:rRNA from 1 species
UACGGAGGAUGCGAGCGUUAUCCGGAUUUAUUGGGUUUAAAGGGUGCGUAGGCGGGCUUUUAAGUCAGCGGUAAAAAUUCGGGGCUCAACCCCGGCCCGCCGUUGAAACUGGCAGUCUCGAGUUGGAGAGAAGUAUGCGGAAUGCGCGGUGUAGCGGUGAAAUGCGUAGAUAUUAGGAGGAACACCAGUGGCGAAGGCGGCUUACUGGACGAUGACUGACGCUGAGGCUCGAAAGCGUGGGGAGCAAACAGG